GUCUUCGAUAGCAGCACGAACCGUAUCUGGUGACAGCGAAAACUCAGUUGAAAAUGAUGUGCGUGUUAGAGCAGCUCAUUAUGCUGAACAGAAAAAGGUGAAGACUAAGAUGAAGAAAAUACAGAGCAAGUUACAGGGCAAGUGUGUCAGCAUUGCCAGCUCAGCAGAUUAGUUAAAGAUAGUUGUAAGCAUGAUGUGCAUUGUACUGAAGUUAGUUAGCUCUGAUACCAUGAAAGAAAAUGAAAUAAAGUUGUUUGGUUACUAAGAAAAUGAAUUGACAAUCAAGUGCCGAGAGUGAGUAUAGAGCUUUGGCAUCAGUAAGUGCAGAGCUGACAUGGUUACAAUCCUUAUUUUCUGAGUUGGGAAUAAGUUGCAUAGAAAAGCCAAUCAUAUGGUGUGACAACAUUAGUGCCACUGAACUAGCAAAGAACCCUGUGUAUCAUUCAAGAACAAAGCAUAUCGAAAUUGAUAUGCACUUCAUUAGGAAUAAGGUUCUUGCUGGUGAGUUGAUUAUUCACUAUGUACCAAGUGAAGAACAGAUUGCAGACAUAAUGACCAAGCCUCUCUCAUUUGUAAGGUUCAACUACUUGAGGUCCAAACUCAAUGUCCAUCUCUGUCCUCUGAGUUUGAGGGGGGCUGUUAGAGCAGCUCAUUAUGCUGAACAGAAAAAGGUGAAGACUAAGAUGAAAAAAAUUCAGAGCAAGUUACAGGGCAAGUGUGUCAGCAGUGCCAGCUCAGCUGACAGCUCAGCAGAUUAGUUAAAGAUGGUUGUAAGCAUGAUGUGCAUUGUACUGAAGUUAGUUAGCUUUGAUUACAGUUAGUCUUUGGAUUAGUUAAAUGAUGAUUACCGUGAUUGCAUUGUAUAUAAAUAGGUGAUGCUUUGUAAUCAAUAGUUAAGUAAAAAAAAAUAAGAAUCAAAGUUUGUUAAGGAAAUAUCUCCAGAAUUGUCAAUUCAUUUUCUUAGUAACCAAACAACUUUAUUUCAUUUUC
rnacentral:lncRNA from 1 species